CACUCGAGGAGAAUACUCAAUUCACAAGCUGAGACAGGAUCGAUCAUGGGGCGCUCUUCUUCUUCCUUGGCGCUGGUGGCUCUCCUCAUAUGCUGUUCCCUGGCAUGCUCGGCGGCGGCCCAAGGUGCUUCUCGUGGAAUCCGUGUGCCGGCUGCUCCUCCAUCCCCUAAGCCCCGGACGCCGAAUCGGCCGGGCGAGGAACCGAUCGAUCCGUCACCGCCACCACCACUGGAGACAUCAGCGGCACUCGCGCCGCACCGGAAGACCCUGCAAGCCUCUGCAAGACUUUGUUGUUAAUUAGGUAGUACAUGAAGAACUGCCAGCUCGAUCUGAAUUGAAUCUGGGAUUGACUUGUUUA